ACAAUCUAUAUAAUAAAAGCCCAGCGCGGUGUCCGUGUCCGUGUCCGGGUCCGGGUUCCUUUUGGCUGUAUAGCUGCCCCGUAGAAAAGCCCCAGUCCUUCCCCUCUCAGAAUUCCUGCUUACCCCCCUCCGUUCUUUCCCCUUUGCUUUUAUUUUUCCUGUUCCUGAAAAUCUUUUCAAAAGAAAAUAAAGAAAAUAGACAGAGCGUCACAUUAACGUCUUCUCCCCUCUGCCUAUUAAAUAAUAAAUGAAAU